CAACUCUCAACAACGGAUAUCUUGGCUCUCAGAUCGAUGAAGAACGCAGCAAAAUGCGAUACGUAGUGUGAAUUGCAGAAAUACGUGAAUCAUCGAAUCUUUGAACGCAAAUUGCGCUCGAGGCUUCGGCCAAGAGCAUGUCUGCCUCAGCGUCGGGUU
rnacentral:rRNA from 1 species